GAUGAACGCUGGCGGCGUGCCUAAUACAUGCAAGUCGAGCGAACAGACGAGGAGCUUGCUCCUCUGACGUUAGCGGCGGACGGGUGGGUAACACGUGGAUAACCUACCUAUAAGACCGGGAUAACUUCGGGAAACCGGAGCUAAUACCGGAUAAUAUAUUGAACCGCAUGGUUCAAUAGUGAAAGACGGUUUUGCUGUCACUUAUAGAUGGAUCCGCGCCGCAUUAGCUAGUUGGUAAGGUAACGGCUUACCAAGGCAACGAUGCGUAGCCGACCUGAGAGGGUGAUCGGCCACACUGGAACUGAGACACGGUCCAGACUCCUACGGGAGGCAGCAGUAGGGAAUCUUCCGCAAUGGGCGAAAGCUUGACGGAGCAACGCCGCGUGAGUGAUGAAGGUCUUCGGAUCGUAAAACUCUGUUAUUAGGGAAGAACAAAUGUGUAAGUAACUAUGCACGUCUUGACGGUACCUAAUCAGAAAGCCACGGCUAACUACGUG
rnacentral:rRNA from 1 species